rnacentral:rRNA from 1 species
ACACCGGCCGCCCAAGUGGUGGCCAUUUUUAUUGGGCCUAAAGCGUUCGUAGCCGGCCUGAUAAGUCUCUGGUGAAAUCCCGCAGCUUAACUGUGGGAAUUGCUGGAGAUACUAUCAGGCUUGAGGUCGGGAGAGGUUAGAGGUACUCCCAGGGUAGGGGUGAAAUCCUAUAAUCCCGGGAAGACCACCAGUGGCGAAGGCUGUCUGCUAGAACGCGCCCGACGGUGAGGGAUGAAAGCUGGGGGAGCGAACCGGAUUAGAUACCCGGGUAGUCCCAGCUGUAAACGAUGCAGACUAGGUGUUUGGACGGCCACGUGCCGUUCUAGUGCCGCAGGGAAGCUGUUAAGUCUGCCGCCUGGGGAGUACGAUCGCAAGAUUGAA